GCCUGGGUGGCUCAGUCGGUUGAGCAUCCGACUUCAACUCAGGUCAUGAUCUCAUGUCUCGUGGGUUCGAGCCCCGCGUGGGGCU
rnacentral:tRNA from 1 species